UCAUGGCUAUUAGAUCAGGGCCGAGGUCGUAGCCAUCUGUAAGAAUUGGAUGUGAUGAUGGUGGUGGCUCUAAUAACUCGCCCUUUGGAGCAAAUAAUUUAUAGAUAGGAGUGAAAUCCACGUGGUGUGGUGAAAAUGGUAAGGUGAGUGUGGUAAAAAAAAAGGAAAAGAAAAAGGAUACACGGACGACUUGGUUCGAAACUAGCACAGCUACCGUUCCCCGGCAACGGCGCCAGAAAGCUUGUUGGGUAUUUUAAACGCAAACAGAAAAAUCCGCAAGCGCACGGAUACCGAUGUAGCUUUCACCCGGGAGUAUUCCAGAGUAUCGAUUUUCCACAGGAAACGUGAGUAUACUAAUUAAGAUUCAAGAUCGCCCAAGGAUAACUAUAUAAUUAUUUUUGGUUGGAAGAGAGGAAGUUUCCUAAGAGUUCUCUAGUUGAUCUAAGAAUUAAGAAUUACUUCAAGAUUAUCUAUUUCGGGACAUCAGAGCACUAACCACAGAAAGAGAUGAGAAGGGGGCUAGGAAGCUCCGACUACGGUCCUACAAACACCGAUCCGAACGAGGUGGAAUACGUCGACCGUUAGGGCUGUCACUACCCUAAGGCUACCACAACAAUCCGCAGGAUUGGGUGCAAUUCCAGGUAAUUGCAAGACUAAACACCACGUCUAAUCUAUUAAUUACUACUCUAAUGUUGCAAAGAUUAGAGCACUUGAUGCAAGCGGGAAUCCAAUAAAUAACUUGAAUGUAAAUAAAAGUAAUUAAAGAACUCAGGAUUAUGAAUUGAAUAACCUGGAGAUCGAUGAAGAACGAACCAGUUGCUACAAAAGUACAAUGUUGAGGAAGAUCCGACAGAUCCAUCUCCUCCUCCUCCACUCUCCUCUUCUCUCUCCCUAUUUUCUAGAUUACAACUAGAACUAACUAGAACUAGAACUAGAGGAACUAGAACUAGAACUAGAUGAACUAGAACUAGAUCUAGAUGAACUAGAGGUAGAACUAGAAGAACUAGAGGGAUCCUCUCUACUUGGAUGAAGAAUUGAAACCCUAACUUUGAUUCUGUAGAAGAGGUAUGCCUCCAGGGGCUGGUGGGGGUCUGCUUAUAUAGUCCAGGAAGAGUAGCCCCCAAGAAAUCUAGGAAGAGUAGCUCCCAAGAAAUCUAGGAAGAGUAGCUCCCAAGGAAUUUCCACGUUAUUCUCCACCAUCUGAUCAAACCGACAUUAAUCGCGUGAUUUUCCUUGAUCCAUAGAGUCGGUGGAGCACGAUCCGCGAAGUUGACCCUGAUUGGGCACUGUAGCAGGGCGGGCGCCCAGGAGAGUAGGAUGGGCGCCCUGCCUCCGAGCCCGAUCGCCUUCCCGUUCGUUCCCGUGGCUUCUGGAGUCUUCUAGAUGGUAGAAAAUUACGCGGCACGUUAAUAUCUCUAUGUAAUCUCGACAUGUGGGCCUUUCUUCCAUAUUUCCUGAUAACCCCCUGCAGAAAUAGACAAACACCAAAACUCAUGGAAUUCUGUCAGAUAAAACCCUAAGUCUAGGUGUUGGUUGCAUUUGGAUCCUUUUCCAUGAUUAGUUGAUGGUUAAAUGUGAGCAUUAAGGACCGUCAACAAGCUCCCCCAAGCUUAACCUUUGCUCGUCCCUGAGCAAAGCUAAAAUCAGCAAGAAAUCAGGGUUACUUUUAUGCCUCUUACUACAGUGUUUUUAAGUUAUCACUAAGGUCUUAAGUGAUUGAAAAACAGAACGAUCAAGUCAAGCACUAUGUCUCAAGUUCUUUUGUCUUACCUUUGUUCUGGAGUUUUUUAUAAGUCUGCAAAAUAAAACUGAAGCAUUUGCCUUCUUCUCGAAAGAUAUAUAAGUAGAGCUUUAAAAGUUUUAGCAUACUUACUUUGCAUUUUGCUAUGUCAAUGCUCGAAGCAAGGGAGAGGAAUGUCAUACUCCUAGAUCAAGACCUUUGACCUUUUUGAGAAGUUUGUCAUCUCUUACUGGCAUAUUGCUUAUUAGAGGGACCAUGGGCUAUCUUUUUUUCUUUUUUUUCUCUUUUUUUUCAGUCUCUUUAUUUUUUUUUCAAGUGGGCAGCAAGUAUCCCUAAUUCUACUGUCGGACACAUGUCCAUUUUUUCCACUCAGGUUGGUAUCUUUGUACCCCUAAUUCUACUUCGGACACUUGUCCAUUUUUACCUCUCGUCUCACUCUUUUUUUUCUUUUGAAUCAAAUUUUUACAUAGUCCCAUGCCUCUAACGCAAUAAUACUUUGGAAGAGUGAAUCUUUUAUUUUUAAAACAAAAAGAUCUUGAUCUUUGAAGCAUGAUAAGUCUCUCAACCAAAACUACAAGAAUUAACAAUGGCUUGAACAGAGCAAGUGCCUAUAGUUUUAAUAUUUAUAUCUAUUAAGACUCUAGGUAUUAUGUCAAAUAGGAUCUCAUUUAUUUUUAGAUUUUCUGAAUUUUUAGAUUUUCAAAAGAUAAAAUCUCCAGAACUCUAGCAAAACUUGGAACAAGUUAAAUAGUAGCUUAGAUCUUCUCAUAUCAUGUUUGUCAAUUACCUAGACUUGGAUCAAACUUUCUUUUUAUUUUAUUUAAAACUUAGGAUUACACAAAACUAUUGUAUAUUACUCAAAAGAAAAACUUUGUUUGGUUUUAUGGUUAUGCAUUUUUUUAUUUCUGAAUACUAGUAAAUAAAACUAAGAAAGAAAAGUAAUACUUAUCUAGAUACACGUGGGGGUGCCUCCCCCAAGCUGGAUGUUGACAUAGUCGUUCACUCUUGUGGCCUGCAUGGUUGGUCUCACUCUUCUUAAGCCUCAAAAUCUUGCACAACCCAAAUAGACAACAAAACUCGUGGAGCAUGUUAAGGAUUAGGUAAUUAUCUAGAGCUUAUGAGAGCUUAAUAUGAGAAUUCUAUGAACUCAAUCACAUCAAGUUCCUCUACCAGGUUAUUUUGUGGCUCGAGAUAGAUUUUCAAGCGUUGACCAUUUACCUUAAAAGUGUUACCUAUGUCAUCUUGGAUGGUAAUGGCUCCAUGAGUUGAAGUGUCAAUAACCUUGUAUGGUCCAUCCCACUUACUUCGUAGCUUACCAUGCCCAAAGAGCUUAACUCUUGAAUUGAAUAGUAGAACCUUAUCUCCAGGCUUAAACUCCUUGUGCUUGAUUCUCUUAUCAUGCCAUCGUUUUGUUCUUUCUUUAUAGAUCCUUGAAUUGUGGUAGGCUUUCUCUCACCAUUCUUCUAGCUCAGAUAGUUGCAUCAGACGAUUCUCGCUAGCAAGGUGGUGAUCCAUGUUCCAUUUCUUGAGUGCCCAAUGAGCCUUAAACUCUACUUCCACAGGCAAAUGACAAGUUUUUCCAUAUACAAGUUGAUAAGGUGACAUGCCUAUGGGUGUUUUGAAUGCAGUUCUAUAUGCCCAAAGUGCAUCAGGAAGUUUGUCCUUCCACCCCUUACCCAUCUCAUCUAUGGUCUUUUGUAAAAUAUUUUUGAUUUGUUUGUUAGAUGUUUCGGCUUGACCGCUAGUCUGAGGAUGGUAUGGUGUUGCGACGUUGUGUCGAACUCCAUGAUCGGCUAGGUACUUCCGGAAGAUUUUAUCGAUGAAGUGGGAACCUCCAUCGCUUAUAACUAUCCGGGGUAUACCAAAGCGAGGAAAGAUUACUUCAUGGAACAUUCUCUUGGCAUGUUUUGAAUCAGCUGAUCGACAAGGUAGGGCUUCUACCCAUUUGGACACAUAGUCCACAGCUACUAAGAUAUACUCGCAAUUCCUGGACAUAGGGAAUGGCCCCAUGAAAUCAAUGCCCCAAACAUCAAAAAGUUCUACUUGAAGAUUAUUUGUGAGAGGCAUUUCAUUUUGUGAGUUAAUAUUCCCAUGUUUUUGACACCGGUGGCAUCUCCUGACAAAGUCCUUUGUAUCUUCAUACAUCGUUGGCCAGAAAAAACCACUUUGCCAAAUUUUAGCAUGUGUCCGAAAUGCUCCAUAGUGUCCUCCAUAUGGCGAGGCAUGGCAUCUUUCCAUAAUUUGAGUAGCCUCAGCCAUAGGAACACACCUUCUCAAGAGUCCAUCAGCGCAGACUCGGAAAAGAUAUGGCUCAUCCCAAAGGUGGAAACGACUAUCGUGAAGCAACUUCCUUUUGUUUGCACCAGGUGGGACAUAGCCUUUUACUAUAAAGUUUACGAUGUCUGCGUACCAUGGAUCUGCAUGUGUUAUCUUAAGCAGGGUGUCAUCCCUUAGGUAGUCAUUUAUGGGAAGCUCAUCAUGUGUUUCCUUAUAUUGAAGCCUAGACAAGUGGUCGGCUACGGAGUUCUCUACUCCCUUCCUAUCUCGGAUUUCUAUGUCAAAGUCUUGGAGUAGAAGAAUCCAUCGAAUUAGACGAGGCUUAGCAUCUUUCUUAUUGAGGAGGUACUUGAGAGCAGCAUGGUCUGAAUAGAUGAUUAUCUUUGCCCCCACUAAGUAAGAUCUAAACUUGUCUAUAGCAAAGACAACAGCCAAAAGCUCUUUUUCAGUUGUAGUGUAAUUGAGCUGUGGUCCAGACAAGGUUUUGCUAGCGUAGGAUAUGCCAUAAUGCUUUUUAUCCUUGGUUUGUCCUAAAACGGCACCAACCGCAAAAUCGCUAGCAUCACACAUGAUCUCAAAAGGAAGAUUCCAAUCAGGUGGUUGGAUAAUCGGGGCUGAGAUGAGUGCUUUCUUAAGAGUUUGAAAAGAUUCAUGACACUCAUCGCUAAAAAUGAAAGGUGUGUCCUUAGCUAGGAGAUUAGUUAGGGGUCUAGCAAUUUGAGAGAAAUUCUUGAUAAAGCGUCUAUAGAACCCUGCAUGUCCCAAAAAGCUACGGAUUCCUUUCACAUUCGUGGGAGGUGGAAGUUUUUCAAUAACUUCAAUCUUUGCUUUGUCCACCUCUAUACCACGUUCGGACACUUUAUGUCCUAGCACUAUUCCUUCCUGAACCAUAAAAUGGCAUUUCUCCCAGUUCAGGAUUAAGUGCUUUUCUUCACAUCGCUGCAAGACUUUAUCUAAAUUCUCCAAACAAUGAUCGAAGGUUUUGCCAUAGAUGGUAAAAUCAUCCAUGAAAACCUCCAUGAUCUUCUCAAUCAUGUCCGAGAAAAUAGACAUCAUGCACCGUUGGAAAGAAGCUGGAGCAUUGCACAAUCCGAACGACAUUCGUCGGUAUGCAUAAGUUCCAUACGGGCAUGUAAAGGUAGUCUUUUCUUGGUCAUCUGGAUGGAUUGGGAUUUGGUGAUAUCCAGAAUAACCAUCAAGGAAACAAAAGAAAGAGUGGUUUGCAAGCCGUUCCAACAUUUCAUCAAUGAAGGGUAACGGAAAGUGAUCUUUCUUUGUAGCCUUGUUGAGUUUUCGAUAGUCAAUACACAUACACCACCCAGUAACAAUUCGUUGAGGGAUGAGUUCAUUCUUCUCAUUCCUAACGACCGUCAUUCCUCCUUUCUUUGGCACUACUUGGACAGGGCUAACCCACUCACUAUGUGGCACAGGAUAAAUAAUCCCAGCACGAUAGAGUUUGAGGACCUCUUUCUUAACAACCUCUCGCAUAGCAUUGUUAAGUCUCCGUUGUGGUUCCCUUGAAGGUGUAGAAUUGGGAUCAAUAGGGAUACGAUGAGUACAGAGAAUGGGACUAAUGCCCGUGAGAUCUUCGAGAGAGUAGCCAAAUGCUGAUCUAUGCCUUUCAAGAAUAGUGACAAGUUGUUGUGUUUCAUAAUCGGAAAGCUUGUCACUGAUAAUUACUGGAGUUUUUGGGUUAUUGUGCAAAAAGACAUAUCUAAGGCCAGAAGGAAGAGGUUUUAACUCUAUCGAAGGAGGUGAAGGUUGUUCAUUUUUGUCUAGCUCAACGGGUUCUACCAACUCUUCUUCUUCUUGAACAAAGUGUUCAUGAUUAAAGAAUGGUUGGGCCAUCUCCUCUUGAGUCAACAUUAAGAUCUCCUCAAUAGGAUCUGGUAUAAGUUUGGGUUCCACUAUCGUGUUAAUUGAUCUAGCAAGAGGAACAAUAAUAGUAGAAUUCCCAACCUUGAAGUCUAAAUGACCUCGUUGUGGUUGUUCUUGUAGAAGUUUCAUGAUUGGUCUACCAAUCAAGAGAGGAAUCUCCGGUAUGUCAAAAAUUUGAAAAUCUAGGCAUAUUCCAGAGUCCUUGAUUCCAACAGGAACUGCCCUUAAUACCCCAUGGCUUUCUAGAAUUAAUCUAGAUGGACUUUGUAAAAGCUUUUGGGAUGGGGUUAUGGACUCGUUGGGAUAAAGAGUGUCAGCUAACUCCUUGGAAAUAACAUUUAUCCCAACAUAUGGAUUGUAGUGGACCUUCCUAGUGGACCCUCUAAUUUGGCACAGAAGAAUGGUUGAAGGAAUGAUGAUUCGAGCUACCUCAGGGGACAGCUCCGCUUCUGUUAGCCAUUCAUAACUCAGAAUAGCCGAAAGGCUUUUGAUGUGUUCAAUGUCAACAGAUUCUACUCUUAGAACGGAUUGAGUGGUCCUUGCUAGAGGUCGUGUUUGGAUAGGAAAAUUUGAGGUGUUUCCAUAAUCUUCAAAAAGAUUUUCCUCGAAUUCAAAGGGAUGCUCUAAAGGUGGUAGUUCAUCAUCCCUUAAUUGGUUUCGCAUUCCCUUAUCAGGAGGUUUCUCUACAACCAAAUUAAUAGGUGGGUCAGGUGGAAUUUCUAACUUGGUUGCAAGUUCCUCAUCUUUUGGUUUAGGAUCAGCUUCGACUUCUUUUUCUUCUUCAGGAAACUCAUCAUAAAUGCCUGUGUAAGGGGUAUUUUCAAGGAUUCUUUCUAGGAUAGCUCUCCCCUCAUCUGUGAGUUUGUGUGUGAAUGAGCCUCCUGAAGCAAUGUCGAGGUGAAGAGCAGCUUCCUUGUUUAGACCACGAUAAAAGUGGUAGUACAGUACAUGGUCAGGCAGGGAAAGGUUUGGACCGGAAUUGGUAAGGCUUGUGAACCUAGCCCAAGCUGCUCCUAAAGUUUCCUUCUCUCUUUGUUUGAAUGUAAGAAUUUCAAUUCUAAGGUCAGCAAUUCGAAAAAGUGGGAAGAAAGCGAGACAAAAGUUGUCCCGAAGUUCAUCCCAACUUCCAUUAACGCCUCCUACAGAAUGAGCAUACCACUUCUUUGCUCUUCCCAAAAGGGAGAACGGAAAUAAUUUCCAUUUAAGGGUUUCUUGUGUCAUGCCAGAAAUAGAUCGGCAAGAGCACAACUGCUCGAAUUCUCUAAGGUGGGUGUAUGGAUCUUCAUCUACUUGCCCAGAGAAGGGUUGCUCCUGAAUCAUGGCUAUUAGAUCAGGGCCGAGGUCGUAGCCAUCUGUAAGAAUUGGAUGUGAUGAUGGUGGUGGCUCUAAUAACUCGCCCUUUGGAGCAAAUAAUUUAUAGAUAGGAGUGAAAUCCAUGUGGUGUGGUGAAAAUGGUAAGGUGAGUGUGGUAAAAAAAAAGGAAAAGAAAAAGGAUACACGGACGACUUGGUUCGAAACUAGCACAGCUACCGUUCCCCGGCAACGGCGCCAGAAAGCUUGUUGGGUAUUUUAAACGCAAACAGAAAAAUCCGCAAGCGCACGGAUACCGAUGUAGCUUUCACCCGGGAGUAUUCCAGAGUAUCGAUUUUCCACAGGAAACGUGAGUAUACUAAUUAAGAUUCAAGAUCGCCCAAGGAUAACUAUAUAAUUAUUUUUGGUUGGAAGAGAGGAAGUUUCCUGAGAGUUCUCUAGUUGAUCUAAGAAUCAAGAAUUACUUCAAGAUUAUCUAUUUCGGG
rnacentral:lncRNA from 1 species